rnacentral:tRNA from 1 species
GGAAGUUUAAGCCUAAUUGGUAAGGCAGCUGUCCUGAAAACAGUAAGUAAUCGGUAAAACGAUGUGUAGGUUCGAGACCUACAACUUCCG